rnacentral:miRNA from 1 species
CAUUUGACCCCUUUGAGCACU